AUUGAACGCUGGCGGCAUGCCUUACACAUGCAAGUCGAACGGUAACAGGUCUUCGGAUGCUGACGAGUGGCGAACGGGUGAGUAAUGCAUCGGAACGUGCCCAGUCGUGGGGGAUAACGCAGCGAAAGCUGCGCUAAUACCGCAUACGAUCUAUGGAUGAAAGCGGGGGACCGUAAGGCCUCGCGCGAUUGGAGCGGCCGAUGUCAGAUUAGGUAGUUGGUGAGGUAAAGGCUCACCAAGCCAACGAUCUGUAGCUGGUCUGAGAGGACGACCAGCCACACUGGGACUGAGACACGGCCCAGACUCCUACGGGAGGCAGCAGUGGGGAAUUUUGGACAAUGGGCGCAAGCCUGAUCCAGCAAUGCCGCGUGCGGGAAGAAGGCCUUCGGGUUGUAAACUGCUUUUGUACGGAACGAAACGGCUCUCACUAAUACUGGGGGCUAAUGACGGUACCGUAAGAAUAAGCACCGGCUAACUACGUGCCAGCAGCCGCCGUAACAC
rnacentral:rRNA from 1 species